rnacentral:misc_RNA from 1 species
AGUACCUCGAGACCCCCUGUGUCUUUGACGCAGAGUCUCGGAUUUGGACGCCUGCCGCGGUCACUCGCGGCUCGUCUCUAAAUGCAUUAGCGAACGCGCCCGAACGGUCCCUGCUCUCAGACGUGAUAAAGUACCAUAAGCGUCGAUGGAGAAGGUGGCCGUGCGUCGCUCACGAGCCGUCCGUGAGGACAGUUUUGACACCUGA